rnacentral:rRNA from 1 species
AGUUUGAUCCUGGCUCAGGAUGAACGCUGGCGGCGUGCCUAACACAUGCAAGUCGAGCGGGAGUAUCGCAAACAGAGAUUCGUCAAAGGGAGCGGUAUGAGAGCGGCGGACGGGUGAGUAACGCGUAGGUAACCUACCUUAAGCUGAGGGAUAACCCAGGGAAACUUGGGAUAAUACCACAUAAAGCGGUGGAGUCACAUGGCUUUGCCGCCAAAGAUUUAUCGGCGUAAGAUGGACCUGCGUCUGAUUAGCCAGUUGGUGGGGUAACGGCCUACCAAAGCAACGAUCAGUAGCCGACCUGAGAGGGUGAUCGGCCACAUUGGAACUGAGACACGGUCCAAACUCCUACGGGAGGCAGCAGUGGGGAAUAUUGCACAAUGGGCGCAAGCCUGAUGCAGCAACGCCGCGUGAGCGAAGAAGGUCUUCGGAUCGUAAAGCUCUGUCCUUGGGGACGAAGAAAGUGACGGUACCCAAGGAGGAAGCCCCGGCUAACUACGUGCC